rnacentral:tRNA from 1 species
GUUCUUAUAGUGUAAAAAUUUGAGCACAUUAGAUUUUCAAUCUUUUAGAAUAUAAUUAAUAUAUUAAGAAUA